rnacentral:rRNA from 1 species
UACAGAGGUCUCAAGCGUUUGUUCGGAUUCAUUGGGCGUAAAGGGUGCGUAGGUGGCGCGGUAAGUCGGGGUGUGAAAUUUCGGAGCUUAACUCCGAAACUGCAUUCGAUACUGCCGUGCUUGAGGACUGGAGAGGAGACUGGAAUUUACGGUGUAGCAGUGAAAUGCGUAGAGAUCGUAAGGAAGACCAGUGGCGAAGGCGGGUCUCUGGACAGUUCCUGACACUGAGGCACGAAGGCCAGGGGGAGCAAACGGG